rnacentral:misc_RNA from 1 species
UAGCUUUGGACCCGUGUCUGCCGGUAGGUCCCCCGUCUUUGUGCGGCCGACUACCGGCGCCGUGUCCCGUCAUUCGUGUGGCUUAUGUUACUGUUGCCUUAAGUGCUUGCGUGCUGGUACCCGACCUACGGGAAGUGGUGCAUCAUACACGGUUGCCUCGCGGUGGAUGCCUUCGGGUGUGCUGCUGCGGCCAAAUGGCGCUUGCGGCGUUGCCUCGUGGUGUCGACACGUUUUCGUGCUUGGUGCUAUCAGGGCAGCCUCGCUCCCGCUGUUGGUUUCGGAUGUCGCUCACGUUAAAAGCUCAUGGCCCUUUCGGUUGCCUCGAACUGACCCUAAAUAUGCCUUCCUCGUUGAGAACAGCAGUGUUCCUCAACUCGUAGGUGGAUAUUGGCCCGCUCAAUUGCGACAACUGGCCCGACGGUUGACUCGCUCAAUAGGCCUUCCUCGUUGAGAACAACAGUUUUUCUCAACUCGUAGGUGGAUAUUGGGCGAACAACCGUCGGCGCCGGACGUCAAAGAGG